rnacentral:rRNA from 1 species
UACGUAGGUGGCAAGCGUUGUCCGGAAUUAUUGGGCGUAAAGCGCGCGCAGGUGGUUCCUUAAGUCUGAUGUGAAAGCCCACGGCUCAACCGUGGAGGGUCAUUGGAAACUGGGGAACUUGAGUGCAGAAGAGGAAAGUGGAAUUCCACGUGUAGCGGUGAAAUGCGUAGAGAUGUGGAGGAACACCAGUGGCGAAGGCGACUCUUUGGUCUGUAACUGACGCUGAGGCGCGAAAGCGUGGGGAGCAAACAGG